GGAGGGGGCUAGCGUUGUUCGGAAUUACUGGGCGUAAAGCGUACGUAGGCGGCUUUGUAAGUUAGAGGUGAAAGCCCGGGGCUCAACUCCGGAAUUGCCUUUAAGACUGCAUCGCUUGAAUCAUGGAGAGGUUAGUGGAAUUCCGAGUGUAGAGGUGAAAUUCGUAGAUAUUCGGAAGAACACCAGUGGCGAAGGCGACUAACUGGACAUGUAUUGACGCUGAGGUACGAAAGCGUGGGGAGCAAACAGGAUUAGAUACCCUGGUAGUCCACGCCGUAAACGAUGAUAACUAGCUGUCGGGGCGCUUAGCGUUUCGGUGGCGCAGCUAACGCGUUAAGUUAUCCGCCUGGGGAGUACGGCCGCAAGGUUA
rnacentral:rRNA from 1 species